GUAAUACAUCGGAACGUACCCAGUAGCGGGGGAUAGCCCGGCGAAAGCCGGAUUAAUACCGCAUACGCCCUAAGGGGGAAAGGGGGGGAUCGAAAGACCUCUCACUAUUGGAGCGGCCGAUGGCUGAUUAGCUAGUUGGUGGGGUAAAGGCCUACCAAGGCAACGAUCAGUAGCUGGUCUGAGAGGACGACCAGCCACACUGGGACUGUGACACGGCCCAGACUCCUACGGGAGGCAGCAGUGGGGAAUUUUGGACAAUGGGCGAAAGCCUGAUCCAGCAAUGCCGCGUGUGCGAAGAAGGCCUUCGGGUUGUAAAGCACUUUUGUCAGGGAAGAAAUCGUUCGGGCUAAUACCUCGGGCAGUUGACGGUACCUGAAGAAUAAGCACCGGCUAACUACGUGCCAGCAGCCGCGGUAAUACGUAGGGUGCAAGCGUUAAUCGGAAUUACUGGGCGUAAAGCGUGCGCAGGUGGUUCGUUAAGACAGUUGUGAAAUCCCCGGGCUUAACCUGGGAACUGCAAUUGUGACUGGCGGACUAGAGUUUGGCAGAGGGGGGUGGAAUUCCUGGUGUAGCAGUGAAAUGCGUAGAUAUCAGGAGGAACACCGAUGGCGAAGGCAGCCCCCUGGGCCAUGACUGACACUCAUGCA
rnacentral:rRNA from 1 species